rfam:Parcubacteria bacterium GW2011_GWC2_44_22 TW45_C0030, whole genome shotgun sequence.
UUUUUUGAGAGUUUGAUCCUAGCUCAGGAUGAACGCUGGCGGCAUGUCUUAGGCAUGCAAGUCGAACGGUUCGGCGCAAGCCGGACAGUGGCAGACGGGAGAGUAACACAUUGGUAAUCUACCCUCGAGUCGGGCAUAACCCUGCGAAAGCGGGGCUAAUUCCCGAUGGUCUUGGCUAACGAAAGUUAGUUAAGUAAAGUUUCGGCGCUCGAGGAGGAGCCUAUGUCCCAUCAGCUUGUUGGUAGGGUAAUGGCCUACCAAGGCUACGACGGGUAGCGGGUGUGAGAGCAUGACCCGCCUCACUGGGACUGAGACACUGCCCAGACUCCUACGGGAGGCUGCAGUCAAGAAUAUUCCGCAAUGGGUGUAAACGGCUUUUGCCGGGGAACAAGCCCCGCCCCUUUUCUGACAAGUAUUAUUACUAAUCAAUGGCCAUAAGGCGAAGCCGCCUUACGGCUAUAAUUUUGAUAUUGGUUAUAAAAUUGGUUGAAAAAGGGCGGGGUUGAGCGUACCCGGCGAAUAAGGGGCUGCUAACUUCGUGCCAGCAGCAGCGGUAAUACGAAGGCCCCAAGCGUUAUCCGGAUUUAUUGGGUGUAAAGGGUCCGCAGGCGGUUUGUUAAGUCUCUGUUUAAAUCCCGAUGCUCAACAUCGGAUCGGGCAGAGAUACUGGCAGACUAGAGACCGGGAGAGGCCAGUGGAACGGCUGGUGUAGGGGUAAAAUCCAUUAAUAUCAGCCGGAACACCAAAAGCGAAGGCAGCUGGCUAGAACGGUUCUGACGCUAAGGGACGAAAGCGUGGGUCGCGAACGGGAUUAGAUACCCCGGUAGUCCACGCCCUAAACGAUGGAUACUAGGGAUUGGAAGUAUCGACCCUUCCAGUCUCGCCUCCAACUUAGCUAACGCGUUAAGUAUCCCACCUGGGAAGUACGGCCGCAAGGCUAAAACUCAAAGGAAUUGACGGGGACUCGCACAAGCGGUGGAGCAUGUGGUUUAAUUCGACAACAAGCGUGGAACCUUACCAAGACUUGACAUCUAGCUGCACAUUCGGGUAAUGCCGAAUUCUUUCGAAGGUGCUAGACAGGUGCUGCAUGGUUGUCGUCAGAUCGUGCCGUGAGGUGUACCCUUAAUUGGGGUAACGAUCGCAACCCCUGUCCUAUGUUACAUUUCUCAUAGGAGACUGCCCCUCACCUUGCGCAUAAGCUUAGGCUUGUGAGCAGAGUGAGGGGAGGAAGGCGGGGAUGACGUCAAAUCAGCAUGGCCUUUAUGUCUUGGGCUACACACGUGCUACAAUGGUUAGUACAACGGGCAGCAAAAUCGCAAGAUUGAGCUAAUCCCUUAAAACUAAUCUUAGUUCGGAUUGAGGGCUGCAACUCGCCCUCAUGAAGCUGGAAUCGCUAGUAACCGCGCAUCAGCCACGGCGCAGUGAAUACGUUAUCGAGUCUUGUACACACCGCCCGUCACACCAGGAGAGCUGGCAAUGCCCGAACUUCGACGUUUGUCGAGGGAAGGUAGGGUUAGUAAUCAGGGUGAAGUCGUAACAAGGCACCCGUAGCGGAAGCUGUGGGUGAAUCACCUCCUUU